CUCGAUCCUGGCUCUCCAGUGCCGCCUUCCCACGCCGUGUGCUGGCUGCGCGUGCCCUUGUGCCGCAGGGGCGCGCCGGGCCGGCCGGGGAGCCCAGCUGCACCCGCUCGCUAACCAGCAGCUCUGGGCACUCAGGCUUGGGUCUUUGGCCGACGUGUCUCGAAAAUGGACAAAAUGAGCUGUCACUUCAAGGAAAAAGACUGACGGGAUUUGUUGCGAGGGAUGAAAUUUGAUUGUUCAGGUGAAAGGUGAGAAUUUUGGAGAACCCGUGUCUGCCGCUGCGAGCUUCUCAGCUUCCCACCCCUUAGGACUCUUCCAAUGAGACCGUGGGGGCAGAAGGAAUAGGAUUUUUUUUGGAUUUGAAAUGUAGAAGGAAGUUCAUCUGGGACAGCUGCAUACUUCAGUGAGCCGGUGUCUCCAGAUGACCGGCCCGUGGUGUCACAGGAUCACCGUGGGUAAAAGAUUCACUCAGAGUGGGGCCAGUGGGGUUGUGGCUUCGGCUACAUCAGGUAUCCUACUUUGUGUUCUGUUCAGAUAGAUUGCUGCUAACCUUUAAGAAACUGCAUUUUCUGAGUUUUGACGUGGUCUGAGAGAAGAAUAUUCUCAGUAAUUUGGAUAUGUUGGUACAUCUUUGUGAGGUCAGAGUUUGUGUGUCUACUUUGACCAAACAAUGCGUCAUAUCAGACGGAAACAGAGUCUGAGGUCCAGCUGUCUUCUGGGAAGGCAGAUACUGAAGAGAUUUGCAAAAAACUGUCACUUGUCUAACAAUUUUUUUUAAAGGUUUUA